rnacentral:rRNA from 1 species
AUUGAACGCUGGCGACAGGCCUAACACAUGCAAGUCGAGCGAGCGGCGGACGGGUGAGUAAUGUAUGGGGACUGCCCGAUAGAGGGGGAUACCUACUGGAAACGGUUGCUAAUACCGCAUACUAUCGGAUAACCCAUAUGGGAUUAGCUAGUAGGUGGGGUAAAGGCUCACCUAGGCGACGAUCUCUAGCUGGUCUGAGAGGAUGAUCAGCCAGACAGGGACUGAGACACGGCCCAGACUCCUACGGAGGCAGCAGUGGGGAAUGUUGCACAAUGGGCGCAAGCCGGAUGCAGCCAUGCCGUGUGUAUGAAGAAGGCCUGAGGGUUGUAAAGUACUUUCAGCGGGGAGGAGUUACCCGCAGAAGAAUCACAGGCAAACUCCGUGCCAGCAGCCGCGGUAAUAC